UCUCUGGAGGACUAGUGGUUAGGCCAUAGCACUCUCACCGCUACAGCCUGCGUUUGAUUCCUGGUUAGGGAA
rnacentral:tRNA from 1 species